GAUAUACAUAUGGUUAGGUGCUACAUGUUCUAAAAUUAGAUUUUAACAUGCGCUUAUUUGAACAACAAACAUAAACUUUAAAAGGCAACAGUAGUAUUCCGCUGAUCAAAAGUCAUAAACCGAUUGAGAGAUAACAUAUAUAGUACUAAUAUUAAACAAUGCUUGAGUUGCAACGGUAUCCCAGAUAUUAUGUUUAAGAUAAUGCAUAAUUAAAGGCUUUCUUGUCAUUUAACACAACAGUGGUGUCAAAUGACAAAAUAAGUACAUGUAG
rnacentral:lncRNA from 1 species